AGCAGCAUGGCGCAGCCGGCAGCCGCGGGGUACACAUCUCGCCUCGUGGUUGUGACGCAUACAUCUACACCCGGCGGUCACUCGUUCGACCCGAGUUGCUGCUA